rnacentral:ncRNA from 1 species
AUAAAUACUAUGAAAAGGAAAAGUAACUAUUCAGUGACAGCCCAGAGAGCUAGGGGUGGUGGGAGCCUAGCCUGAAGUUGAGUAGUGAAGUUCUCCUUGGAGUUGCCAGCUGAAGAUAAGGGCGUUAGUUUUAAAGCCCAGAUUGGUAGGUGUGGCCGGAGCUUCCGCCGUUAUCAGGGAAGGGGGUAUCGGUAAAACUGUGUUUUUACCCGUACUUAAUGAGCGGAGUUAAUUGGCCGGACAGGCUGAAGACUCUACAAGGGUGGUAUCGCGGGAAGCAAAAGCUCUCGUCCCUUAU